AGUCAGCCACUCUUUAUCUUUGUACAAGGUCAUGUCUGUCUUGGAGAACUCAUCUCCAAAGAAGCAAGAGGGAGGCUGCGCUGGUAACUCCUGUGGGAAGACUAACUGGGGCGCCAUCACUGGCACCAGCGCACUAUCGCUGUUCCCACACAGGAUGUCAGCCCAUUACAGGGACUAGCCCAGCUCCUGCCUCUAGUGCUUUGGUCUGCUUGAAAACUCAGACAUCAAUAAGGCAAUUAAGUAUACAUAUUGAAUCCUACAAAGCGUGGAUUAUGCAGUACAGCCCACCUCUAGUCUCAAGUAAAAGGAGAGACAGAUCAACAUUUUUCAGGACUUUACAGGACCCCUAAUUACUGCAAGAGUUCCUGAUACCAGGGAAUGAGUCCAUCCAGCAGAUCAUAAACACAUCACCAAGUCAUGAUUGUGGAACAUCACUUCCUGCUGAUACCUAAAUAUUAAUGGCUCCCCAGCGCUCGUGUGGCAGACCGUGGGCCCUCCCGGCCGUGGCUCUUCUCGCCCCCACCCGCAUUGGGGAGGGAUGUGCAGCAGCAGCAGCACGCGGAAGGGGCAGCUUAUGUGGGAGACAUGUCGGGACUUCAGCCACAAUCCUGCCUGGAAGAACAAAUCUGCCCUCCUAAAAGCCCCAUGAGAUCUGCCGUGGCCCCAGGUGGGGCUCCUAGCGGGCUAACGCUAGCGCUCCCACGCCAGGCAAGCUAGGCUUCUUCAGCCUUCAGACUGUCAGAGCCUUUUCUCUCAGCAGCAACAAUUACCAACAACACUAGAGAUGGCGGUGGUAUUAGAUCUGAGGAUGACUCAUCGCUGAACCAGCCCUGUCAAGCAAGAUAAAUACAAUUUAGUUGUUAGCUAAUCUAUUUUUGUUUGUG
rnacentral:lncRNA from 1 species